AAACAGAGGAGGACAGAUUGACAAACGCCUAGAGAACAUUUUGGCUUGCAUGACUGAGGAUGAUGUUGAUGGAGGACGUGAAUGCAUCCUGAAGGCGUUGUGUGUGUACCUCAAUGAAGACCCCAAAUGUCUACUUCGCGCGUUUGUGGCACAAGACGAAAUCCAAGUGCAAGAGGGAAUGGAGGAAACGACUGUAGGGAUCUACAUCGUCAAAGCAGAUGCCACCAGCAAAGCAGAUGACAUUGGCAUCAUUUUGGAAGGCCAGCAGGUGU